UGGGGAAUAUUGCACAAUGGGCGCAAGCCUGAUGCAGCAACGCCGCGUGAGGGACGACGGCCUUCGGGUUGUAAACCUCUUUUAGCAGGGAAGAAGCGAAAGUGACGGUACCUGCAGAAAAAGCGCCGGCUAACUACGUGCCAGCAGCCGCGGUAAUACGUAGGGCGCAAGCGUUAUCCGGAAUUAUUGGGCGUAAAGAGCUCGUAGGCGGUUUGUCGCGUCUGCUGUGAAAUCCGGAGGCUCAACCUCCGGCCUGCAGUGGGUACGGGCAGACUAGAGUGCGGUAGGGGAGAUUGGAAUUCCUGGUGUAGCGGUGGAAUGCGCAGAUAUCGGGAGGAACACCGAUGGCGAAGGCAGAUCUCUGGGCCGUAACUGACGCUGAGGAGCGAAAGGGUGGGGAGCAAACA
rnacentral:rRNA from 1 species